rnacentral:lncRNA from 1 species
ACUCUUUUUGGGGCAAUCCCUCGCAUAGUGCGGUCCAUUACAAAAGAAGCAUUGGACCGGGGUCUUCGGUUUGGGAGGGAAAUCUCUAAGUCCCUUGGCCCUUUCUGAUGCCUCCUUGCCCUUAGGCGGGUCUCCCUCGCUCUUUCCCUUGCCGCCCUUGUCCUUGGGUUUAGGUUUCUCCACUUUCCUAAACUCAAUAANNN